GUGGGGAAUAUUGCACAAUGGGCGAAAGCCUGAUGCAGCGACGCCGCGUGAGGGAUGACGGCCUUCGGGUUGUAAACCUCUUUCAGCAGGGAAGAAGCGAGAGUGACGGUACCUGCAGAAGAAGCGCCGGCUAACUACGUGCCAGCAGCCGCGGUAAUACGUAGGGCGCAAGCGUUGUCCGGAAUUAUUGGGCGUAAAGAGCUCGUAGGCGGUGUGUCGCGUCUGCUGUGAAAACCUUAGGCUCAACCUGGGGCUUGCAGUGGGUACGGGCACACUAGAGUGCGGUAGGGGUGACUGGAAUUCCUGGUGUAGCGGUGGAAUGCGCAGAUAUCAGGAGGAACACCGAUGGCGAAGGCAGGUCACUGGGCCGCAACUGACGCUGAGGAGCGAAAGCAUGGGGAGCGAACAGGAUUAGAAACCCCAGUAGUCC
rnacentral:rRNA from 1 species